rnacentral:rRNA from 1 species
UACGGGAGGCAGCAGUGGGGGAUAUUGCACAAUGGAGGAAACUCUGAUGCAGCGACGCCGCGUGAGUGAAGAAGUAUUUCGGUAUGUAAAGCUCUAUCAGCAGGGAAGAAAGGCUCGAAAGAGAGAUGACGGUACCUGACUAAGAAGCCCCGGCUAACUACGUGCCAGCAGCCGCGGUAAU